AGAACGAACGCUGGCGGCAGGCCUAACACAUGCAAGUCGAGCGCUGUAGCAAUACAGAGCGGCGCACGGGAGAGUAAUACGUGGGAACCUACCCUUUGGUUCGGAAUAACGUCGGGAAACUGACGCUAAUACCGAAUAAGCCCUUCGGGGGAAAGAUUUAUUGCCGAAGGAUGGGCCCAUGUUGGAUUAGCUAGUUGGUGAGGUAACGGCUCACCAAGGCAACGAUCCAUAGCUGGUCUGAGAGGAUGAUCAGCCUCACUGGGACUGAGACACGGCCCAGACUCCUACGGGAGGCAGCAGUGGGAAUAUUGGACAAUGGGGGCAACCCUGAUCCAGCCAUGCCGCGUGAGUGAUGAAGGCCUUCGGGUUGUAAAGCUCUUUUGGCGGGGACGAUGAUGACGGUACCGCAGAAUAAGCCCGGCUAACUCGUGCCAGCAGCCGC
rnacentral:rRNA from 1 species